UACGUAGGGUGCAAGCGUUGUCCGGAAUUAUUGGGCGUAAAGAGCUCGUAGGCGGUUUGUCGCGUCUGCUGUGAAAACCUGAGGCUCAACCUCGGGCUUGCAGUGGGUACGGGCAGACUAGAGUGCGGUAGGGGUGACUGGAAUUCCUGGUGUAGCGGUGGAAUGCGCAGAUAUCAGGAGGAACACCGAUGGCGAAGGCGGCUCUCUGGGCCU
rnacentral:rRNA from 1 species